rnacentral:rRNA from 1 species
GACGUAGGGGGCCAGCGUUGUUCGGAAUUACUGGGUGUAAAGGGUUCGUAGGCGGUGCGGCAAGUUGGGAGUGAAAUCUCUGGGCUUAACCCAGAGGCUGCUUCCAAAACUGCCGUGCUUGAGUGUGGGAGAGGCGCGUGGAAUUGCAGGUGUAGCGGUGAAAUGCGUAGAUAUCUGCAGGAACACCCGUGGCGAAAGCGGCGCGCUGGACCACUACUGACGCUGAGGAACGAAAGCUAGGGGAGCAAACAGG